rnacentral:lncRNA from 11 species
GCUGCUCACAAAAAGCAGGCAAGGAGUCAGGAUAGGCUCCUGCUUGCUUUCGUGUCAAGCUGAUUUUUGUACCAGGAGGAGGCUUCCUGUUAGGUACUACCAAAGAUGAAGCAGGACAAGCAAGAAACCAAGCUGGAUAAAGGCAUUACAAACAAAAUGUACCAAAGGACGCAAUAUGGGGAAAUGCAAUUAUUUGACACCAUUACAAUCAAUGCAUAUAAUAUAAUCCAAAUAAGAAAAGUUGAAUUCAAGGAGAUACAUCACUUUGGAAUUGUUUUAUAGGAACAUGAAACAGUGAAUGAAAAAUGUUUCUCAUUCAUUUAAGAUAUCUGAAAUGCAAAUGCACUGCGCCUCAGUUGACUAGAGAAA